rnacentral:rRNA from 1 species
AAUGAACGCUGGCGGCAGGCCUAACACUUGCAAGUCGAACGGAUCCUUCGGGAUUAGUGGCGGACGGGUGAGUAACGCGUGGGAACAUACCCUUUGGUACGGAAUAGCGUCGGGAAACUGGGAGUAAUACCGUAUGUGGUCGAGAGACGAAAGAUUUAUCGCCAAAGGAUUGGCCCACGUUGGAUUAGGUAGUUGGUGGGGUAAUGGCCUACCAAGCCGACGAUCCAUAGCUGGUUUGAGAGGAUAAUCAGCCACACUGGGACUGAGACACGGCCCAGACUCCUGCGGGAGGCAGCAGUGGGGAAUCUUAGACAAUGGGGGGAACCCUGAUCUAGCCAUGCCGCGUGAUCGAUGAAGGCCUUAGGGUUGUAAAGAUCUUUCAGGUGGGAAGAUAAUGACUUUACCACCAGAAGAAGCCCCGGCUAACUCCGUGCCAGCCGCCGCGGUAA